CCACACAGCACCAUCUGUUGUCGGCCGGAGGAACUAACGGCUCUGGGUCACGUGACUUGACCUUCGAUGACGCCAUAUUAUUAGACGUUUGUUAUUGUUGUGGUUGUGUUGGAGUGGGCGGCGGUGGACAGUAAUUAUAGUUUGGGGGGGCAAAUCGGACACUUGUGUGCUCAGUUUCAAGGGAAUUUUAGAUCGGUUUUACACGACGGGGAACUGAACAGAGUGCAGCCACUGGCCCAGUUUCAUCAGUCUACCCUAGCUCAUGACAGUUCAGCAGAUCGAAGAGUUUUGGUUUCCUACCGCGGAUUAUGUUUUCUAU